AACGAACGCUGGCGGCAGGCCUAACACAUGCAAGUCGAGCGCCCUUUCGGGGGAGCGGCGGACGGGUGCGUAACGCGUGGGAAUAUGCCCUUCUCUACGGAAUAGCCUCGGGAAACUGAGAGUAAUACCGUAUACGCCCUAUGGGGGAAAGAUUUAUCGGGGAAGGAUUAGCCCGCGUUGGAUUAGGUAGUUGGUGGGGUAAUGGCCUACCAAGCCGACGAUCCAUAGCUGGUUUGAGAGGAUGAUCAGCCACACUGGGACUGAGACACGGCCCAGACUCCUACGGGAGGCAGCAGUGGGGAAUCUUAGACAAUGGGGGCAACCCUGAUCUAGCCAUGCCGCGUGAGUGAUGAAGGCCUUAGGGUUGUAAAGCUCUUUCAGCUGGGAAGAUAAUGACGGUACCAGCAGAAGAAGCCCCGGCUAACUCCGUG
rnacentral:rRNA from 1 species